rnacentral:sRNA from 1 species
ACUGCGUUCAUGCAUAGUGCGUCUCCAGA